rnacentral:misc_RNA from 1 species
CACUAAGAUUCGAAAAAGAUCGUGCCGCACGCGACUGAAAAUUACGUUCGUUGUGAUAAACAAUCGUCGAUCAUACAUGCUUCGCUGUGUGUUAGAUGCUUCGAGUUGGUUUUAGGUUAAGUAUUCUAAUACUUUCUGGGUGGGACAUUUGCCGUGGCUGUGACCAUGUUCCAUGUUCUAUUCAUAAGUUUUCCAACUGUGUAUCAUACGAACCAGCAGAAAUCGGGAUUACAAUUAUUUUCUGACCAUUCACUUCACAAUGUGUUAACAUAUUGAACGCCACGUGAGUUACAUUUAACUCGCACCGUGUUUGGCCAAGAGGCUGUAUGAGUUGAG